UGGAUUAGGAUGAUCAAUUGAAUCAUAAUCCAACACUUGAUCUGAAGCUAAUUUUUUAUAAACUAGCGCGAUUGAUGUAUCUGGUUCAUUCUGCUGAAUCCUU
rnacentral:snoRNA from 1 species